GACGAACGCUGGCGGCGUGCCUAAUGCAUGCAAGUCGAGCGACGCACACUGGAGGGGUAACCCACCGGUGUGACGGAGCGGCGAACGGGUGAGUAACACGUGAGCAACCUGCCCCGAAGAUCGGGAUAGCCCGGGGAAACCCGGAUUAAUACCGAAUACCCUCGCGAUUCCGCAUGAAAACGCGAGGAAAUGCUUUUGCGCUUUGGGAUGGGCUCGCGGCCUAUCAGCUUGUUGGUGAGGUAACGGCUCACCAAGGCUUCGACGGGUAGCUGGUCUGAGAGGACGAUCAGCCACACUGGGACUGAGAUACGGCCCAGACUCCUACGGGAGGCAGCAGCAGGGAAUAUUGCGCAAUGGGCGAAAGCCUGACGCAGCAACGCCGCGUGGGGGAUGAAGGCCUUCGGGUUGUAAACCCCUUUCAGGAGGGAAGAAAUUGACGGUACCUCCAAAAGAAGCCCCGGCCAACUACG
rnacentral:rRNA from 1 species